rnacentral:lncRNA from 1 species
CUUAUUCUACAUUGCACAGUUUAGCACGAUGCAUUAUAGAUAAAGUCAUGAUUAUAUUUUCACGUGUGACCGCACAAUAUUUAUAAAAAUAUACUUUGAUUUAGUUUGUGGAGGCGACAUUGUCUCAAUGAACACAACAAUCAUCAACCGGGUAAAGAAAAUCCAAGCGGUAUAUGACAGUGCCCUAGAUAAAGCACACCCAAUUAUUACAAAGCUCCAAUUCGACCCAACUUCAAUGAAUAGCAAAAUGCAACUGAGCAAUGUGCAUAUCACCGUACGUCUGAACGGACAUGACACUUCGUACAAGACUGUAGUUCCUUACUCAAUGAUGAACAUACCAGAGACCGCCAGAAACAUGGCCAUGGAAUACUGGGGCAAGGUUACAGUCUGAAAUUUUUACUGUUAUGUUCAGUAAUAAUAUACAAUAAACUCAUAUUCAGA